AUUGAACGCUGGCGGCAGGCCUAACACAUGCAAGUCGAACGGUAACAGGAAGCAGCUUGCUGCUUUGCUGACGAGUGGCGGACGGGUGAGUAAUGUCUGGGAAACUGCCUGAUGGAGGGGGAUAACUACUGGAAACGGUAGCUAAUACCGCAUAACGUCGCAAGACCAAAGAGGGGGACCUUCGGGCCUCUUGCCAUCGGAUGUGCCCAGAUGGGAUUAGCUAGUAGGUGGGGUAACGGCUCACCUAGGCGACGAUCCCUAGCUGGUCUGAGAGGAUGACCAGCCACACUGGAACUGAGACACGGUCCAGACUCCUACGAGAGGCAGCAGUGGGGAAUAUUGCACAAUAGGCACAAGCCUGAUGCAACCAUGCCGCGUAUAUGAAGAAGGCCUUCGAGUUAUAAACUACUUUCAGCAGCAAGCAAGGGAGUAAAGUUAAUACCUUUGCUCAUUGACGUUACCCGCAGAAGAAGCACCGGCUAACUCCGUG
rnacentral:rRNA from 1 species